AAGUACAGCCACACCAAACUGAAUGCACUCAAUCUCACAAGCUAAGCUGUCCCAGACCCAAUUACUAUUUGCAUUGAGACCACCUGGGAAUCCCAAGUGCUGCAGGUC
ensembl:rRNA 5S_rRNA 5S ribosomal RNA